UUUAAUGAGCUUUUAAUGGAAUGCAAUGCUCAGAGUAGUAAAUUAUUUGUUAGUUGACGAUGCAAUCAGCAUGCUGAUUAAGGUUGCUUGGUUUUUUACUAAACAUUAACUGAAUGAAAACGGGUAGCCCUUGUUCUGCUUGGGGGGCUUUAAGGAAGCAAAUGGACUUUCAGAACAGAGAUUGUCAAUAAAGUGUAUGGAGCCCAGUGUUUGGCUGAAAGGAGAAGGCAGCAGCCAGAAGCAACCGAAAGGACCAGGAAGGAAACCUGCCCCAGUCUCACGGGCUUCUUUGCUGGCCACACCUGCCAUUCGUUAUAUGGAUACGAUGUGUUUAACACUGACUUAAAAAAGAGCUGUCACACUUCUGAAAACUCUAAGAUAAGCCAAACUCUUUCCUUUAGACCAUAUCCUCCGCCGUGCUGGCCCGGAAGAAGGAAUGAAGUGAGAAAUAUGUGAUGCAUGGUACAACCGAACAGAAGGAGGCCUUUUCAAAGACACCGACCUGUGAGGGACCUGGUUGUGGCUGCAUCCACUCCAGGAACCAGAAUACACUCUGCGGAUAUGGUGGACUCUACCUGAUUUAGUCAUUUUUCCUUAACAACACCUAAAGACAAUGCUUAAGACACUUAAUCCGAAAGCAAGCAAAACAACAUGGCAAAUGGAGCCCGAUGGUGCAGCCAGAGGAACCCUGAGGCUGGAGUUCUGGGGCUCAGGGUGUGAUACUCAGAAAAAUAAUUUGCCUCUCUGCAUUUCAACAUGUGUUCCUAAGUGGAGAGCUAAGCUUUCUGAGACUACACAUAUGCAUGCAAGAGCACUGCAUCUAUCCUCUAGACAGAAGUCUUUAACAUCACUCUGUCAAAGGGUGUUUUAUCUCAGCAAUGAGAGAAAAGUACCCAAGACACAUGGCCUAGAAGAAAAAAUUUUUUCAAGACUCAAGAAGUCUGAGGAUGGAUAAUCCAGAAUGGAUUUUUACUGAAUGAGAAAGCAAUAUUGCAAAUAUUGCUAUUAAUUCAAACACAUGGCACAGGAGUCAUGAAUACCACAGUAAGCACCUAUAGGGGGCGUUCAUUAUUUCUUUAUUAGUGCAUGUUUGUGGUAUAUAAUGUUUACAUUAUUUGUGGGGAAUUGGUACAUGUUCACAAUAGAUCUUAGUUCCGUUUUAAAUCUCCUUUCCCAUCAUCCUUUCUUUCCCCUCUAUGCAUCUCUGGCCAUUAGAGAAAUGCAAAGUAAAACAGCACUGAGAUUCCAUCUUAACCCAGAAAGAAUGGCUACCAUCAAGAAAUCAGAUAAUAACUAAUGCUGGCAGGGAUGUGGGGGGAAAGGGAGCUACCUACAUUAUUGAUUGGAAUGUAAACUAAUACAACCACUUUGGAAAUCAGUAUAGAGAUUCCUAAAAAAUCUGAAACUAGAAACUCCAUUUGACCAAGCUGUUCUCCUAAGUAUCUUCCUGAAAG